rnacentral:lncRNA from 1 species
GUGGUUGAUGUGGGGAGGGAGAUUUUUUUAUUUGGGUUUGUUUUUUGUGGGUUUUUUUUUUUGUGUUUUGCAGAUCCCAGGCUGGGAUUUUUCCAAGGAAAUCAGGGGAAAUACGUGGGGAACAAAAAGUGGUGGGAUUUGCUCCAGUUGCACGUUUCAGUGAUAGAAUUUUAAAUAUCAUUUCUUAUUAAAAAAAGCUAAAAAAUCUCACUUGCCAAACUCCCAGUUCCCUAAAAAUGCUGGAAUAGGAGGAAAAUUUGUUGUUUCAGCUUUUCCAGGAAUAACCAAAGCUCUUGGUUUGGGGGAGCAGAUUCCAGUUCUGGGGAUCUCAGGAAUUCUUCCACCACGGUGGAAAAAAAAGACAAGGGAAAAAAAACCCAAAAAACCCCAGAAUUUUGGGAAAGGCUCAUCCAGAAAUUCUUUGGCACUCUGGUAAUGGACAGGGAAAAUAAAAUUUUUUUAAAAAAAAGGAAAAUACAGAAGAAUUUUGUUGUUUUGAAGGGAAAAAUGAGGGAAUAAAGGAGGAAAAAACCAAGGAAAAGAGCGGAAAGAGACAGGAAAAAAAGCAAAACCAUGAAAUGAAACGACCCAAACUCUCCCCUCUUGCCCAAGCCUGGGGUUGAGACGUUCUUGAACUCCCACAGGAGGUUUGGGCUGAACUUUCAUCAACUGCACCCAAGAUGUUUCCUGGGCUUUGCAAGAUCCCCUCUGUCCCAGGGCAGAUAAAUCCUGGAGCUGCUAUCUCCAAAAUUCCUCCUUCCCAGCCCUCCACAGAGCUCAGCUUUCUCCUGGUUUUUUUGGUUUUUUUUUAAUUAUUAUCAGUUUUCACCUCCCUUUUCCUCCUUUUAUCAACGUGGGAGCACCUUGGGGAUAUUUGCAUGAAGAUAAGGAAUGGUGGGGCUGGCUGAGGACAUCAGAUCUCCAGGGAAAAGCAAAUUACAGCCUCAGGAGGGGUUGAAUUCUGUGUUUUAAUUCCUUCAUAAAAUGCCUGACUCGACAGAGUCUUGGAUGCUUCACGUGUUGGACACUGCUUGGCUCCUGUUCUCAGAGAGAUUUUUCCUCCUUCCCUCCCUUUCCGUGAUGCACCACAGAAAAAUCAUUGAGGAACAGAGCAACUCUCCCCUAAAAGUGGGUUUUAUUAAUUGAUAUUUUAUGUGAAAUUGCUUGUAGGGAGCUGCAGGUGCUUUUGUUGUGUUUUCUGCUGCCUUUCCCACUGAUUUUUCUCCAUCUCCACCCCAAAAAACCUGCCAUUUUUAUCUCCUGUUUGUCAAGAACGCCAGAACCUUUCCUCCCCACCCUCAGCCUUGUCACCAGAACGAGAAAGGAAAUUAAUUUGCCCCAGACCAUCCUGUUUAUGCAAUUACAGAAUUAGCCGGCUUCACUUCUGCCUGAGGAGCGAAACAACCUCCACCCUCCCGCUUAUUUAUCACCAAUCGCUGAGGUUUCCGCAUUAAAAAUACCCUCAGACCCCUUCAGGACUUAUUUCAACUUCAAUAAAACUUAAAGGCUUGAAAGAAUCA